UUUUCCUUAAUUUACAUCAGCGGUUUCUCUUCUUUUCUGGUCGUGGGGUGCCGGAGUUACGAGCUAGCCCAUCAUCAUCUAUCGUCUAGUCGCGUGCGUGCGGUUCUGGAAUUUCGACGGCUUCAGGCUGGUGCGGGCGGCGCCGCGGCGAGCGACUUCACUUGGGCAUUGCGGUCGGCGGUGAGCGCUGCAGUUGGAAUUGCGGUGGUCGCGAGGGCUACAUACAGCUGAGGAUUGGGGCAGGCGGCGCCGCGGCGGGUGUCCUCGGCGGCGCUGUCAUGGUGGGUGGGUCGAUUCGUCUCCAGUUCCGUUGAAUCCGCAGCGGUGUCAGCGGCGCUGGGCAGUGCGGCGUCUUGUAUUGCCGGGCUUCCAGGCAGCACGGUGUCUGGUCGUCGUCGAGCAGCAUGGCGGGUGGCCGCUGCGGGCGGCGCUGCAUGUUCAAUCGACAUCCUUGAGCGGCAGGUGAACUAUGCCCAUGGACAUCACUACGUCAGGUACGUGGCUCGUUUGCUCUCCCUUGUCACAUCCCUCUUUCUUCUCAACACCAUGCCUCAGCUCCACCCCGUCGGAUCUGACCUCGCCGAGAAUCCGGCAGCCGGAUCUGGUGAGUCCCGUUAGGUCCUCUGUAAUCCACGCGCUGCUCGUCGACUUCGGCCCGCCCGGCCACCACGCGUCGCAUCCAACUUCACCGUGGAUCUGCCGCCCUCCAUCCUGCAGUUGCCGGAGUUCCCCGGCGCCUCGCACCAGCAGACCUCCACCAUCCUCCCGAAAUCGGGCGCCGCCUCCACCAACCUGCCACCGCCACACAGUCCCCCCUACCCGGCGUAUAUCAGCAACGUCGAGCCUCUUUAUCCCCUUAUUGUAAAGCAAAAUUAAGACAAAGAAGUGAACUAGGAAGGCAGGGUGCCUGAUGUGAUUGUUGUGAUGGAAUGGUUUAAUUGGAUGCUAUGUUGCAUGGAGCUGAGGGAUAACAAUGUUUCAGUUGCCAGAGGGAUUGGUGAACAACUGAAGCUAACAGGAAAUUUCUGGCCAUAUGCAAAUUGAGCUACUUGAAGACAAGUUCAGAGUUCAGACCUGUAUCUGGCAAUAAAUUUGUGCAAGUCGGCUUCCAGUACGAGAAAUCAGCAAGCCACCACUUUGAACACUCCCAUCUACCUCACAUAUGGCGUGGUCGAUAAUGGAGCUCCCAUCCUCAGGUUCGCCAUUUUUUUGUCUGCUCUGAUCCAUCAAAUGUUCAUUAUUAAGAAAAAAAAAAGAUGUUGCAUCAUUACCUUCUGCCUUCUUUGGGGUGUUCAGGAAUACACGCAUUGUUCAGGUCAACUUGUAAGCAAUUAAGCAUUAAGCAUUUGUAUAAUAUAAUUUAUUCUGCAACCAAACGCUGGCACAUAGCGUGCCUUGGCAUUAUUCUUUUGUUGAUACCAAUUGAUUUAUGACUAGCUAUGCAGUCUUUCAUGUAAAAGUUAAAGAAAUGGUUGGCUCACUUUGCUGCAUGUCACCAAUGUGUAAUUUCUGAUCAAUCACGAAAUAGACAGUAAUUUUUUGUCUCUUGUUGUAGCUUGGCUCUACCAAUCUAAUUAUUAACAGGUCAAGUUAUUUUCAUCCUAAUUGAAUUUUAUUUCACUUCAGCGGAGUGGCAACCCAAUAUAAUUUUGUCGGUCACUGCUAGCAGUUCUCAAACCUGCAACCAUGAUUUUUAGAAUCUUGAAUCGAUAAUUUUCAUCAUUACUCGAAUGCUAAAUGACAUCGUUUCCCAUUUUGCAGAAAACUUGGCUCCAGUCUUGUGAGCAUCGUGGUCUAGUGUUGAUUCAUGUUGCUGCAAACUUAGCAUAUGCACUUGUUUGUUACACAAAUUCAAGUUACGUUGCAGGUUCAUCCCACUUAUAAGCAUUUGGCAAAUUUGUUGCAGGUUCAUAUUAUAAUGAUCUCUUGAUGGCAAUGCUGUCGCAUUUGGGCAUGAGCAUAGUAACUAUUCACCAAUGGUACGAUAAAGGCAUAGCUUCUGCUGUCAACUAAGCAAGCCUUGCACUUGUGCCAAAUGGAAAGGAACUAGCAAGUCGUCCGUUAUAAACAUCGGUGGUUAUGCCAUUGGGACAGUAUACUUUGUUACAUUGAUUAGUUCAAGUUUUUUGUUCUGCGGUAGUUCUACCAUGACUUGGAGUUCUUAUGUCGUGUUGUCGGAGACAUGUUCCUUUAUGUCAAGAUUGGCACCUGAAAUUCUUAGGUGACAUAAUGUAUUCAGAAUUUUAUGCGACAUAAUGUAUUGGAAUUCUUUGAGUGACAUAAUGUAUCGUACGACAAUUAGUGGAACAUAAUGUAUCUUUAAGUAA